rnacentral:rRNA from 1 species
GACGAGCGCUGUGGCGCGCCUAACACAUGCAAGUCGAACGAGAGAUGAGGAGCUUGCUCUUCAAAUCGAGUGGCGAACGGGUGAGUAACGCGUGAGGAACCUGCCUCAAAGAGGGGGACAACAGUUGGAAACGACUGCUAAUACCGCAUAAGCCCACGGCUCGGCAUCGAGCAGAGGGAAAAGGAGCAAUCCGCUUUGAGAUGGCCUCGCGUCCGAUUAGCUAGUUGGUGAGGUAACGGCCCACCAAGGCGACGAUCGGUAGCCGGACUGAGAGGUUGAACGGCCACAUUGGGACUGAGGCACGGCCCAGACUCCUACGGGAGGCAGCAGUGGGGAAUAUUGCACAAUGGGGGAAACCCUGAUGCAGCGACGCCGCGUGGAGGAAGAAGGUCUUCGGAUUGUAAACUCCUGUUGUUGAGGAAGAUAAUGACGGUACUCAACAAGGAAGUGACGGCUAACUACGUGCCAGCAGCCGCGGUAAAACGUAGGUCACAAGCGUUGUCCGGAAUUACUGGGUGUAAAGGGAGCGCAGGCGGGAGAACAAGUUGGAAGUGAAAUCCAUGGGCUCAACCCAUGAACUGCUUUCAAAACUGUUUUUCUUGAGUAGUGCAGAGGUAGGCGGAAUUCCCGGUGUAGCGGUGGAAUGCGUAGAUAUCGGGAGGAACACCAGUGGCGAAGGCGGCCUACUGGGCACCAACUGACGCUGAGGCUCGAAAGUGUGGGGAGCGAACAGGAUUAGAUACCCUGGUAGUCCGCGCCGUAAACGAUGAAUACUAGGUGUUGGGAAGCGUUGCUUCUCGGUGCCGCAGCAAACGCGAAUAAGU